GCAAACUUGGUCAUUUAGAGGAAGUAAAAGUCGUAACAAGGUUUCCGUAGGUGAACCUGCGGAAGGAUCAUUAACGAAUCGUAAGGACUUUGCUGUCGCUGGCUCUCUCUGGGAGCAUGUGCACGCUCAGUUCAAACCUUUCAUUCUUUAACCUCCUGUGCACUUUUGUGGAUCGCGGAUUGGAUAAAUUUUCAUUCAAAGUAACAUUUGGUCUUGGAAAAUGCGCAUAUAUGCGCUCUUUCCUACUUCUGUCUGCGGUCCAUGUCUUUUUAUUAAACUAUUAUAACAACCUUGAAUGCAUUAAUGGAGUUUCGUCUCCUUAAAACUUAUACAACUUUCAACAACGGAUCUCUUGGCUCUCGCAUCGAUGAAGAACGCAGC
rnacentral:misc_RNA from 1 species